rfam:Dipodomys ordii contig_49312, whole genome shotgun sequence.
GGGAAUGUGGCUUAGUGGUAGAGUGUUUGCCUGGAAUGCAUGAAGACCUGGGUUUGAUUCCUCAGUACCA